ACGCUUCCCGCUCUGUUUCCCACUUUAGGCUCAAGUCCCAAUACGUUCUGCUGCUGCGUACAUCCCACGUUUCUCUACUUAUAUACGGUCCGUAUACAUGUAUACAUGAUAUACGGAGAGAAUGAACUCAUGGCGAAACAGUAGGGCUGUGGAAGGUUGGAUAGAAAUAUAGUCUCUGUAAGAAGUAUUCCUUGAUAUUAUCCAUGGUUUUUGGCUUUGUGUAAUCCACGACUGUAUAGCUUGAUAUCAUCUUCGUGCAUGACUGAAUAGCUCCCCCAAUAAUUCAUAUGGCCAAUACUAGUCAACCUCUAUUUGCAGCUACCGCUGUCUUAUCACCCACUUUGUUUGUUUACGGGCGGACAUGGUAGAAAGAUCGGAGGGAACACGAAAAAGCGUGCCAUCAGGACAUGUGAAUGGGGUCAGACGCAUCUAUACAACCCGCUUCCCAAGAUGGCCUUUCAAGAUUUGAGCCUGCUGUUAUUAAUAUGAAGCGGUUUGUGGAGGAAGGAGAAGAAGAAGAGGAGGAAGGGAGAGAAGGGGAGAUGUGAUGGGGACGCUUUGUUGCCCACCUCAUUCGAUCGACAUAUGCUUUUCCUUCCCCUUGGUCUCUUCAUCUGCUCGUACAUAUUGAAUACUCGAACGCUUGUUGUUCUCAUAUGUUGUGGAUGCAUAUGGAUGUGCAUGGAUUCUGAGUGUGUUUCUUGUUUCUUUUGCGUUGCUGUUUUGUCUCAGUUUACGAGUAGUUCAGCUUAGAGAUUUGGAGGGGUUUUAUGGGUUGGAGGUGGAGCUCCUUGAAGUCCAAAGGAGGGUCUUGGUUGGGUGGAUUGAGCUGCUGGUUUAUGGAUUCCACUGCCCUAUUCCAUGUUUUUCUUUGCUAUAGUUGAUGACAAAGAUGGUGAAUGUUUUGGGAUAGGCUUGUGGUUUGCAUAACUCAGGAGCUGCAUCAACCCAGCCUGACCUUUAUUUGGAUUGAAGGGAGCUCUACAUCUGUUUACUCCAACUUUCUGUUGUUGUUUUCAUUUCUAUGUCUUGUUUCAGAAUCACAACCCUCUCUCUCUCGCUCUCUCUGUCUCUCUUUUUCAGUCUGCUUCUUUCUUGAUUAUUGCCAAGAUUUUGAUGAGGGUUUGCAUCAUAUGAAGGGGUUUUCUGCCUACUUUAUUUGGAUCGUAUUAUUCUUUGGCAAUAUACUGGAUAUUAUUACAUCUUAAAUAACAGCAGCAGUGUAUAAUCUUUCUUUGUGUGUCUAUUAUAAGGAUUUAUUAUACAGCUUUUGCAGGGUUCAAUGCAUGUUUUGGUGCAGAUCAACUACAGAAAUGACAUCAGAAUCACUCUGUGAAGUGAUCUCAGGAUCUACACAUGCUCUCUUCCAACUGCCCAACACUAUGUUAUCUGAUGACAUGAUUCUUAUCUUAUUGUGUUUUCAGAGAUUAAUUAAUCAGGUUCUGAAGAAAGAUAAUGAAGCAUGUCAUGAGUUGCUGCGCCAAUGGAGUGCAAGUCGUUGGUCAUCAACGAUGUGGAGCCUCCAUAGUUGAGAUCAUCUUCAGUGUCCUUUGUCUUCUAUUAAAGCUUCGACUGUGAAAGGGUCCACCAUUUGUAUUUUAAUUGGAUAAUCAUGGCAGCCUCGAUCUAUUGUUUUAAUGUUCCGAUAAAUACAGACGGAAUCUACAAGACAAGCAGAUGAAGUUAUGCCCUCCACUUGCAUAUGCUUAUCUUGAAGUAGAGGAUGUUCCGGAAUUGCUUGUUGCUGUCAUCUCUUGUCCUUGGACAACAAUGAUAGAAUCUGAAAUGGACUCUGUGAAGAUAAAUGUCUUCUAUAAUACAAUCGGCAGCAUUAAAAAUAUGAUUUAUUGAGGUUGGUGAGAUGGGACCAAAAUUUCUCGGCAGUGUUUCAUGGUCUAGAAAACUAUACUUCAUCAACUGAGUUGGGUCUGAGAGAGAGGUGACAUAAUAUUUGGUUGAUGCAUCUGUUGUCCUCUAAAACUUACCAAUACACAUGAUUUUUAUGUGAUUUUUUCAUUGUGUAUGUGAAUUUUGCAAUCAGCAAAUCUGUUUGCAAACUGUUAUUAAAGUAAUAUAAAGUAGUUUUCAGAAGAAAAAAAAGAUGAACAAGUGAUUAUUAUUAUUAUUAUCUUCACAAGUGGUAAUAUUCAGAAAAAAAAAUAGGUUACAUGAACUCUUUAAUAUCACAGUUGGAUAUUACAUCCACAAUCUCUUUUGUCAUCCAAGUGUUUAGCGAUACAAAAAAAUAUAUAUAUUGUAAUGAACGAAAUAAUUCAUUAAUAUGGCAUGACCAUUGGAAAUUGUUGAUGUUAGUAUAUUUCUAAGCUUACAAUUGCAUGCCAAAAUUGAUUGGCAUCACCUGCUUUGCCGAAGGCUUGGAGUCAUAUGAGGAUAACUCUUGAACAUAUAAUUUCUGUUUACAAGAAUAAUGAUUUGUGUACAUUAAUUAAGGUAAGAUUGUAAAGGUGAGUGAUUCGACAUACCUUACUUAUAUUUAUAAAAAAAUUUAAAUUCAUCAUCAUAUGAAAUCAAUUUAUAACUCACUCAAACUUUAAUACACCUCUUAUGUAGACUCCAAAAAUUCAUGUUUGUUUUCUCACAUUAUAGAAAUAUUGUAGAACAUAUAAAAUAUUUCUAAUAAUUUUUUUUCCUAUCAAAACUUAAAAAUAUAUAAAAUAUUUAUAAAAAAUUAUGUCUUAAUUUUUAAGAUUUUUUUUCCUUCAACAAGAGCCCUUGUAUUAUUGAUUUCAAAAAUCUAAAAAUAUUUAUCAAUUCCAACAGAAAAUUUCUUGAGCUAUAGAUGCAAUGAUUAAAAGCAUGACCAAACUGGUGAAAGAAGAGAACUAUUAGUGAGGAAUCAAGUCAUGACAGCCAAAACAACUCUUGCUGUCUUAGUAUGAACUUGACAAAAGCAGCACAGUGAUGUCACAACAAUCUACUAACUAGAAGCUUGAAAUAGGAUGCCACCUUCACUUUGCAAGUACCCAAGCCCCAGAACUUCGGUGAUCUCCGUGAUUUCUUUGUAGGCCGACGAGUCAGUGGAGUUCUCUUAAUUUGCUUCAUACGGUUGUUGGUUCCUCCUUUGGUUGUUCUUUGCCUCUAUCCUCAUCACCAUUGCUGUCGACUUUAUACCCAUUUUGUGAGAGUUUCUCCUCUGAAGGUAGGUUCUGCCUGGCUUUUCUACUACCAUCAACUUUCCACAAGUCCCACACACGGGUUUUUGGUGGAGGUGUAGCCUCCGCAAUUGGUGCAACUAGGCCAGGUUUUCCAUCAUCUAUGACGGCGUCUACCAAUCCAUAUUCCUUCGCUUCCCAGGGAUUCAUGAAGUUGUCACGGUCAGUAUCAAGUUCAAUCUGCAAGCAUCAGGAUAAUUCAGCUCUGCAACGAGAAUACAGUAAAAGCUUUACAAAUCAAUGCUUCUUAUCCUGGUUGCUCACCUGCUGUUCAGGUUUUCCAGUAAUUCUCGAUAAUAUCUUGUUCAUCUUUAUUUUAUGGUACACCAUCUCUUUAAUCUGCAACCCCAUCUCUGUUGCCUAGCAUAGAGGAAAGAGAAAAAGAAACAAUUGAGAAAACCAUUGUACUUAAUGUGAAAAAGGUUUACCUUUAGGUGGUAAACUACUAAAGGAAAACUAAGUUCACCAAAAGUGAAGGAUCACUGAUCACCAUAUGAAGCUUACUAAUGUCAAUAAAGAGCAUUGAGUGUAUGCUUCUUUUCUUCCCAGGGUGGAUAGUGGAAGAGAUUUGAUAAUUGAAUUUGGAUUGCUUGUGAUUCUGGAUGCUGAUCACCCUAUGAUGAGGCUUAUUAAUGUCAAUAAAGAACAUGAGUGCAUAUUUCUUCAGUUUCUUCCCAAGGUAGAUAGUGGACAAUAUGUGAUCAUGAAUUUGGAUUGCUUGUGAUUCUGGACCACAAUGAGGCCGAUAAAGAACUGAAAUCAGGAAAUUAAACUUAUAUUCAACUGAAUAGCUUUUCCAAAGUUAUAGUGAAACCUGGCGUUCCAAUAGAAAACCUGCUAGUAUUAAUCGGAUCAAUUUCUCAAGAGGGUAGUUUAGAGAAAGAGGAAAGCAUGAGAUUCUUGUCUCAUCUUAGUGGCACAACAUAACUUGCAGUCCAGUGGAAUAAACUAUAUUAUGAUUCAAGUAGAGAGAAUCAAUCCCUAUGAUGACCAAUGAUAGCUGAACUUUAUAAAAAGAUACUGGGAGUCCUCUUAACUCGGGUCAUAGAAAGAAAAAUCAUGUUUCUGCUAUAAGGAGUUAUGCAAUGGUAAUGGGAUCAGACUCAGCAGCAUGCCAUUUCAAUGUAAUUUUAGUUUUCAGAAACUAAAUACUAUCGAGUUCUAGUUGCAAGAGCAUUAAAUUGAUUUACAUGUCUAAAAGGAUAUAAACCCCCUGAACUGCUUUAUGAUUAAAUUACAUAGGAAUAUACAAACAUCAAAACGUUCCAAGUCAAAACUUAACAUAAUUUAUAGGUCAGUGAUGUGUAGCUCUUGUAUAUCACAGUUCAUAUGUCCUUGAAUGCACAUUAGUAUACUAAACCUUUUGUACUCUUAAAUUUCUUGAUGUUCUGCAGAAAAAUAUUGCCAACGACCAACGCUGCACCUAAGAUAAUUCUUGCCUAUUUUGUAAUAAAUUAUUCAUAACCAAUUUAUAAACUUAGAUCCUUUAGAUUUAGGAUCUUUAAAAUUUCCAUAUAAUCCAUAAUAUUGUUUCCACACCGAUAAUCUCUAAUAUCACAUUUCAUAAUGAGAUCACUGUCUCUGCAUGAUUCAAUCUGGGUUUCAUCCAGCUGCUGAAGACAUACUACUUUUUGUCCCUUCUUUAAGCAAAUUUCUGAAGGGGACACAGUUUUACUGUGCAGACAGGUCCCUAAAAGAUAUACUCAUUCAGACUACUUCCUGUACUUGUAACCAUAUAUCUCUGUGCUUGUGCCACAGUGAGUUGCAUUUAAAGCAUCAACAUGUACGUGACAGCACUAUCAACAUUUAACACAAUGAAAGGAGGUAUAAUGAAGCAAAACACCAAGAUACUAGCCUGCUGUAGAUGAAAGCACUAGCAUUUACGAGAACAACAAAGCUUUAAAGUAGGGCCAGCAUGUAUUUUUGUGUACUAAAAUUGUAUAUAACAUGCAAUCUACACAUACAAAAGAACAAACCAUAAUGUCCCAACUAUUUGGGCUACUCUACAUAGAUCUUUUCCCUCUAUUAAGCUAUGCACAAAGCAAAAUCCUCAGUUAAAUUAAGAAAAUUCAAAUUUCUAUUUAUAAUUUACAGUUUUAUCUAUAAUUAAUAUAUAUAUUCAACCUACGAAAUAUGGAUAAUUAAUCUUGAGCAGUGUCAAUAUAAGAAGAUCAGGGCACAAAUCAAGCCAAAAAUUCUCUUAAAUUUUCUUUAAAAAAAAAACAUUUCAAAUUAAAAAGAAAGAGUAAUUUCUCACUUUGCCUCCAGCUGUUCCUAGCGGUUGAUGGAUCAUGACUCUAGCAUUUGGCAUGCAAAAUCUUUUUCCUUUUGUUCCAGCCGCUAGCAGAAAUGCUCCCAUAGAUGCCGCAAGACCCAAGCAAAUGGUGGAAACAUCAGCCUUGCACAAUUUCAUAGCAUCAUAUAUUCCCAUUCCUGCAAAUGAUUACCAAUUAGUUUUCUAUAAAAGAAUGAGAUCCCAGAGUGUUCUUAGUAAAAUCCACACUUCCAAUCGGAAAGUAACAAACAGAAAAGUUAUUAAAACAGAGAAGAUGCAUAUUUCAUCAAUUUGUUGCGGUUCUUCCAUGUCAUGCCUCUAACCAGAAUCAGGAUAGCAAUAAAAAAACCCAAUUUAAUGAGCUAAUAAGUGGUUCCGCGUAAUAGAUAUUUAGGAUAUAAGAUACUUGUCAAUCCCAAGAGGCCAUCAAUCAUCCAAGAUUUCUUUCAGAGAUAAAAUUUAAUAUUCCAAGUGAUUAAAAAAGUUGUCCGCUUGUAUGCAACACCACAAAUAACUCAAAAAAUUUUAUGCUAAUAUCACAAGUUGAUAGAAAAUUUAUCCGGUCCAGUUGACAAUAACCAAAAUGAAUGAAAUGCAUAUUUCAAACAUAGAUACCAGCUGUCACAGAACCCCCGGGUGAAUUUAUGAACAAUUUAAUCUCCUUUUUUUGGUCUUCUGCAUCCAGAAGUAAGAGCUGGCUGAUAAUCAAAUCAGCAGUCAUGGUAUCCACCUAGUGAUUGCACAAAAAAAUGAUCAAGAAAAUGUGAAAUUAAUAAGCAACAGGUCAUAAUCAUUCUGAUAUCUCAUAAUUGCAGAUGGAAUAUAAUAUUCAAAACUCACAAACUACAUCAUAAUUAAACCAGUGUUCUCUUCCUACAUCUUCUGAAAAGCUAAAAGAAAUACUGAAUCUAUAUUUCAUACUCUAUGUAGUAAUAACAUGUUUAUUAAUUUGACAGAAGCUGAAAAUUGACUUAAAAAUAAGCCCUAUCCAUGUGUACCAGUUUAAAAAUGAUAAUUCAAUCAUUGCUUUCCAAAAUAUCAUCUUGUUAUAGACUAUAAAGCAUGGAUACAUAAACUAUACAUUAUGAAUACGACAACAUAGACACUGUAAUCAAUGUGUUCAAUAUAUUUCUUAUAAUUUUACAAAAUCAAAAGAUAUUCCGUACAGAGAUAAUCUAUGAUCAUUGUAUAUGUAACUUAUAAGAAGCUUGACUUUUGUCCAUAUAAAUAAAACAAUCAGAAGAAAAAAAAACUUAAAACCGAUGUGCGAAACUAAAAGGAGACCAGUGACUACUCACAUCAAAUUGUCAUGUACAUAUAAUAAGUUAACAUAAGCCUAGGUGAUACGUGCCUCAGUAUGUUUUAAUGUAUCCACUGUGGCCAAAUGUAUCCAACAUGAAUGAGAAAUGGACACAACAACAUUUUCAAAAUAAAUUCCUAAAUUAAUGUCCUCUAGACAACUCGCCAUACUUGUCUACUGAAACUUUAUCAUUAAAAGGCAAUAAGACAAUCCCACCCUUAAGCAUUAAUACUAAUGAUUGGCUGAGUCUGCUGAGCCGAGACUUGACCUGCUAAGCUAGGCCUUCCCUUGCUCUCCCUCUUUCCUCUUACACUCUUAUGAGUUCUUCUCCUUAUGAUCCAACCUACACACACUCCUUAUUUUUAAAUGCACAAUGUUGCUUUGCCUGUCUAAAAGUUAUUUUGGAAUAUGAUCUCAGUUGAAGAAUGUAGAAACGUGGUUGAUUGAUCCUUUUGUGAUUGAAAGAAUGAGCUUUGUCAUUAGGAAGAGAUUAGCACUUUAGCCACUUCAUUCCAGUCUUUUUCACUUUCAACAGUUCCUGUUCAAGAAAAUGUCUCCUUGUGUCCUUUUAGGUAAGGAUCUUUUUCAUUGAGACAUCAAAAUUUAUUCCUGUCCUAGUUAAUUAUGUGCUACAUCUAAUUAAUUCUGAUGAAGUGGUUCUCGUGUGUCAGGAUAAAUUUUUUGCACAUUACUUUGCUUUUAUUUAACUGUCACCCAUGCAGUCCAUGAGAGUCAUGUUUCAACAGUUUCUCUGCCUUCUCUAGAUAUGUUUCAUCAUUUGCUUACAAGAAGGUGGCAUAAACUUAUUCAAUCAAUUCUCAUAUAAUCUAAAUGCAAAGGUGCAAACAUUAUUGCUGUGUGGUUAAACUCAAACAGGGAAUUCCACUUCACGAUUUCCUCCAUUCAAAAAAAGCUAUCCAAAUGAACCAAAUUCAUACCAGCCCUAGUAUCUAUCUGCAUACAACAAUAGAGUAAUUCGUCCUACUAGAUCAGUGACCCAAUUGCUCUUGCUCAUAUUCGCAGUCACACAUUCACAAUUUGCCUUUUUUUCGAACGCUUUCUCCAUUAUUUAGGUGUACAUGUAUCGAUCUCCGGUCCCGUUUCUCGAGCCAACAUCAACAAGCUUAAUCUUCCAAAGUAUUUCGCACAAUACGAAUAAAUCCAAAUGAUAAAAGUGAGAAAGCAGAACACUGAGCUGGAAAUUUAGCCAUAAUAACUACCAAAUUACACAAGCUAAAAGACUAGGGUAGAGAGUAACGAACAGAAUUGCUCACAAAACUUGCCAUACGAAACGAAAUAUGCACAAUAACAGAAAAAGAAGUCAAUUUUCUCUCUGAUUGUUCAAAUAAUACAAAAAAAAGGGACUUCAGAUGCGCUUAACGAGCUACUUGGAAGAAAGAUAUUUCAGAAUCAGGUGAAAUAAGAGAGAAACGGAGAACCUGGGAGCCCAAGAAGACGAUGCGCUGCCGGAGGAGCGUGUUGGUGGUAUCCAUCUCCUCGAAACGCGGCAUCCGAAAAGCCCCCGGUACCGAACCCGAGAGAUCCCACCCCUCCGACAGGGUCCGCCGGCGGCCCAAAGCGGCGGCGGCUCGAAGGGGGGGGCGAGUUUGCCUCCUCGGCGGGGCCACCGCGAGCCGGCGGGGAGACGAGGAGGGGAAGAGAAACCCAUGCGGGAAUAGAGAGGAGGCGGAGGAUAUGAGCUUGUCGGAAGGCGAAGCAGAAGACGAGACGGCCACGAUGGUCUCCAUCUUUGCUCCCUUUCUCCCUUCUAUGCGAGCCAACGAAGCAGCAAAGGGAAUCAAUCCGUAGGCAAACAAAUAGAUGUGGCCUACACCGUUACUGGGUUGGGUUGGGCCGUUUCGGCCCAUAAUUUGGUUCCAUCCCAAAAUUAGGUAACAAUUUUAUUUAGGACGAAUACAUGGGAAAAAAAACUUUUUCUUUUUGGAAUUUCCGACGUCACGCUCGAAAUUUUCCUAAAUAAUUAUUUUUUCAUAUUCAAUUUGCAUCUAUGUCGGUUGCGUCCUCCGUCUCCCCUUUACCUAGCUUGUCGUCCAUAGUUUGUAUCGUUACUCUCAUUGAAACUUAGCAAGAGACGAUUAACCUUCGCGCGAGGAUUAUAGUAAAGAGGGACGACUAGCUCUAUUAUAAACAAAGAUGAUGACCUCGUAUACUAAAAGGGGGUUAUGGGCUACGAUAAACCCUCGCUUGAGGGUUGUGGGCGAUAGUAGGAUGUCUAAUGUAAUAAUGGGUAUGGUGAGAAAAAAAAAGGUAAAAUGAUUUUUUUAAGUGAUUUUUUUGAAGUAAAAUACUCAAAAUUAUGAAUAGCAGACUUUUUUUUUUUAAAUCGCGAUUUAUUUAUUCCUUAACCAUUUUAUUUUGUUCAAAAAAAUAAAUAUAUUAUUAAUGACUCCGCACGAGCUAAGGACUCCGCACGAACGAAGGAAUCUUCUGGAGAAGGAACCAAGUACACACUAUAAAUAAUAUCGAAAAGGGGUGAGGCGCCCAUCGAAGACGCGCCGCCGUCGCUAGGGUUCUUCUUGGUGUCGAUCGUCUAUCGUCUUCUUCCACCUCUGGUUCUCAGAUUCUUUUGUUUCGUUCCGGUAUGCUCGGAUCCCCUUGUUUCAGCGCUUCUUAAUUGGUUAUUGGUUUUAGAGCUGCUUGAUUUAUGGUUUUAGAUACACAUGCGUGGUUCUUGAAGUAUUUGGAUCGUUUGAACGGGAGAUCGUGCGGACUUUUUGAUGUUGGAUGCAGUUUGUAGUUACCCAUGUUCAAUCACGUAGGGCGUUUGGAGCCCUAGAUUCUUAACCUAGAAAUAUUUCAUGUUUUUGAUUUAGCCAAGUCCACGAAGAGUAUCUGUUAAUUACAUAUGUGUUCUUUAACGUGCAUUAGCAUAUAGUACAACUACUUGGGAGCAAAAUCCGGAUUUCGUCGUGCUGUUUUAGGAAUCUACUGGAGGCAUGUACUAGACGGGUUUUGUGUUUCCAUGUUAGCAUAGUUAAGUAACAGGGGAAGAAAUUUAACCUAACUAUGAUUUUGGUUGUUUAUUAAAUUUCUAUUUGCUUGCACAUUGACAUGCUGAAUGUUCUCUCGAAGAACUAUUUUGUUUAAAUUGAUUUCAUAUAGUGAAUUAUCUUUUAUAUAGCGUUCAGUAUGAUCAAUGACAUUUUCCUUCCUUUCACUUUUGUCCCCUUUUUUUUGGUUUUCUUUGGCAUCUGGCAGAUUGUUUCUAUAACAUGAUAAUGAGCGACUAACAAAUUACAUGGUUACGGUACGUGAUAUCAAAAUGUGUUCUUGGGUCAAAAACAAACUAGCGAGGUGCAUCUUCUACUUGUUUCAUGGCAGAGAAUUAAGAUCCAUAGAUGGCACGAAUAGAUGUGGCCUACACCGCAAUGGGUUUGGUUGGGCCAUUUCGGCCCAUGAUUUGGUUCCUCGCUGUAGUCAGUAUUUUGUCACUUUUCUGUAGCAGAUUGCCUUUUGCAGGAUGUUCGGCAACUGCAAUAGCUUUUAUCUUUAUUUAUAUAACCACUGCUAGUGGGUUAUGGUUCAUUGAUAUGUUGGACCAGAUAUUACUGAUUAUGUUCGGACAUCAUUUUAAUUCUGUGAUUUGCUUAAGCAAACAGCAGAUUUGUUUAGAUGAAAAGGAAUUCUUAAAUUAGCAUUUUUUAAGCAAAAUUCAUUUGACUAAAAUAUUACUACUUAGUUGUGUUUGUUUAUGAUAACCUACAGCCAGAUUUGUUAAGCUUUUUCCCUAUGCAUAUAAUAUGUUUGUUUCAGGGGUCAUCUCUUGAUUCCCUGUUGACUUCAUUUAGCAAGUUCUCAAAAUUAUCAAUUUGCACAACAAUUUUUAGGCCUUAUUCUUAAAUUAUUUCUCAUGAUCUAUUUGUAUACUGGAUUCAGUUGAAUAGGAUGAGAGGCAGAAGCUACAGUUGCAGUCCGUCACCACCAAGGGGUUAUGAGAGAAGAGGACGUAGUCCGAGCCCUAGAGGUCGCUAUGGUGGGCGUGGUAGAGAUCUCCCAACCAGCCUUCUAGUUAGGAAUCUUCGCCGUGACUGCAGGUUUGUUGUUCACAAUUGAUUACUUGAUGCUAAGAAAGGUCCAUGCUGCAAAUGACACUACUUUCUGGUCUUUUUUAUUUUUGAUAUAUAUUAGCAAUUAUAUUCAGGUUCGUUUCUGUCUAUCUGAAAGCAAUUAUGUGAUGAAAAUUUUCUGUUUGCAUUUUGCAUUAAUCAACAUUUUUAUUAAGGAUCGUUUCAAAGCGUUAGCUUGACGUCUUAUCAUUUGGUUCUUUUUUUAGAUCUUCCAUUUUUGGUUGUUACCAUCUUGAAAUUGGGACUUUUGAUGAUUCACAGAGUAGUCUGUUAAAGGUGUGCAUGUAAAUUUUUUUCUUUUCUGGUGUUCCAAAUAGUUGAGCUGGUAAAUUCGGGGAAAAAAAUUGAUGAUGUUUGGAUGCCUCAUAAAAUCAGCAAAAGUCAGAAUAUUGUGCUUGUGAAUUCUUUCCUUCUAUUGUUGUAACUAUUGGAAUUUGACCCUUUUUCAUUGGAUCGAUAUGUAUUGUCUAAUAAAUGGUGCUUCAUGAUUUGCAGACCUGAGGACCUCCGUAGGCAGUUUGGGCAAUUUGGUCCACUGAAGGAUAUCUAUCUGCCGCGUGAUUAUUACACUGGGUAAGUGGGACCUUUUGAGUCUUCUGUUUAUUAUAAAUGAUGACCGUCUGAGGAUGAACAGCCUAAUCCUGAUGCAAUUUGAAUUUUUGCUGACCAUUUUAUCAAGCAACUUUGUAAACAUUUGAUGACUGUAGCCAUGUAUAACAACAACCUAUGUAAUAAACCAUUGGCUCACAAGUUUUUUUCUGGUGACCUUUAUUCUUUGUACUCUAUGCCCUUCUUAAUUAUAUGUUGAUUUUUUAUUAAGGCUGUUGAGCUCAACAGUGAAUUAAGAGUCUGAAGACACAAGUCAAAUCUUGAGAGUUAUGUUGAAGAGAAUGUAAAUAAAUGAAGAUAGUGGCUAGUGAGGGAAGGAAGUGGGUUUCAGGUUAACUUUUUGAAGAUGUCAAGUCUUGGAAGGAUUUGAAGUCAUCUAUAAACGUGAAAGGUCAGCAGCUGAGUGCGUGCUUUAACUUGAAUUAUUUGAAACUUCAACAUUUGCAUGGAGCCUUUUGGGCAUCCAAGAUAUUUUCUUUAUUUAUGAACCUUUGAUAUUUUUCAGGCAUGUGAUGAUGUAGAAAUUAUUGUUAAUGAUUGUCAUCAUAAUUGCAGUUGCCCUACAAUAUGAUCACUGCAUCAGAAUUUUAUUAAUACUGUGUGGGUUUUCUCAGAGAGCCACGAGGGUUUGGGUUUGUCCAAUAUGUCGAUCCGGCUGAUGCAGCUGACGCUAAGUAUCACAUGGACAGGCAAGUUCUUCUUGGCAGAGAAUUAACCGUCGUAUUUGCAGAGGAGAACAGAAAAAAGCCUUUGGAGAUGAGGGCAAGACAAAGAAGGUAUGUUGAGUCUAAAUCUCAGCCUUCAAAGUUUUACUUGAAAAUUUUGGUGGAUUAAUUAUCCAGUCCAUUUUUGGUUGAUUUCUGAAGUGCUAACGUCCGAUUCCCCAGUUUUGAGUGCUGAUACUUUUUGGAAUUUAUUAAUAUUAUACAGUAGGUUAAAUCCCUUCGCCGCAUGUUCUUUGCAUCAUUUCUAGUCUUGCUUGCUUGUGUUUAAUUGGCAAGCUGUGCUGUGUGAUUAGGCAUCCACAUUGUCCAAAAUGACUCUUAAUCAGUUGAAGUGCUGAUUAUAAUAUUUUUUGUUGUUUGGUAGGGGUCGUGAUCAUCGAAGAUCACCUCGACACCCGCGGUCUCCUCGCUAUUCCCGCUCCCGAUCUCGCUCACCGCAAUGUUCUCGUCCAGCACGUGGUAGAUCCCGCUCUCAGAGCCAUAGUUAUGAUUCUCCUUCGCCAAAUCACAGGCAUCACUCAAGGUAACAUUAUCAUUUAUGGUGGUUAGGAUCGAGUCUUCCAGAUCUUGUUAUCUUUGAAGUUGUGAUUUCCUGUCAAUAGGUCUGUUUCACCCCGCAAUGGAAAGCCGAACCGGGAGAGGUCAUAUUCCCACUCACCUCCAGGCAGCAGAUCACGAAGUAGGAGUCCUGGAGAUUUACCGGAGUAAGCCAUCGCCCAGAGAAAGGUCUCUUUUGGAGCUACUAGUCAAGCAGAUCGAGUAGUAUGUGCGGUGUUACUGGCAGCAUAGUUUAGUUACAACUGGUAGAUGGACACCUGCUGUGGCGAACAGCACUUGGAUUGUUUCCUUAGCUGAAUGUUGCGGACCUGAUUGAAGUUUAGUGGACUCGCUACAAUCGUUGGUAGUGUGGGUUUGAACAUUUGAUGCAUCCCUCCAAUUAGAUUGAAUUUACAAGUGUUUUGCUUUUCCUGUUUCACAUUCUUGUCUUGCACGCAAUUUUGCGUUAAUAUAUGUUUUUGACUCACUCCAGUUUCUUUCCCAUGUCUUUAAGCCGGUCUGACCUUUUUCUGGUCAUAACUCGGCAUUUGACUUCGACUUAGCACCCAACAUUUGAGAAUUAUCAUCUUUUUAACCAAUGCUGGAUUUGAAAUCGGUCGGUGUGCGACAAUUCAAAGGAUCAAUAAUUCUUGCGUUCAAACAAAACUCAAGAGUUCGUCUUCUGCCGUAUUAUAAUUCCUGCCUGCUUCAGUCAGUUUAAGCCUUGUACUAUUCAUCCGGGGGUAAGAUGAAACAUAAACGAAGCAGUAGUGAAGGUGCAGAGAUGUGUAUUAAACUGGUAAAGCUAUGAAAUGUGUGAGACUUGCACUGUUUCCUAUUUGAAGAUUUGAGGCUCAACAUAGAUCUCCCGAGGAAAACUUUUCCCUUCUAAUUAGAAAAUCAAAGUCAAAUUUAUUAUUCUCCGAGAACGCAACCAAGUCGCCUCAUGAGAUCCACCACCCACAGGUUUAGGUUUUAAUCGAUAGAUCUCUUACGGUAUGAAUCUGAUAUUUGACUGCAAAGCAACGGGAAAGGGUCAGACCGAAAGUCCCUCGUCGCACAAGUUUCCUCUUGCUUUUUGACUUGUAUCCAUCUCGCCGACCUUGUUAAAGCGCCUCCGACUCGUAGCAGCUUUGACCCUCACCGUAUGCUUGUGGCGUGGACGGCAGACUUUACAGCGCGGGCGACCUGCCACUCCAUCCCAUACGACAAUCCCAUACUUCCUAUUUCCUUUCUCUCUUCUUUGAACCUUGUCGACAGAUCCAAGGAUGACGCAGCUUCUGAGAAGACGCGUCUUGACUUAUUUGAAUUAAAAGAGACGAUGAGGCCUGUCGGUUGGUGGCAGUUGAGAGAGAGACGCAGAAGAAGAAGGAGGUCUUCUUGCGUCUUUCAUGGUGUGCGUCUGUGUGGAGACUCGGUGAGAGUGAUAGAGAGUAUAAUAAACAUAUGAUGCAAUUAAAUAAGGAACGAGAACAGCUGUUCUUCUCCUGUUGCCAAGCUGGGGGAUGCUCUCGGUGUCCAUCUCUCAGUCAUCCAUCCAUCCAUCUGUUGGCUGAUCUCCUCUUUUAUCAACAACGACAGUGUCAACGGACUUACCGCCACUUGCUGUUGACUCUCUGCAUCGCCGACUCCACCCCUGUCCCCAUCUGCAUCUCAUUUAUCUGUGACGCCGGGUGAUGAUGAAGGUCUCAGAUCAUGAAUGAGGAAUGAACCUACCACUACUACUAAACUAACCCAAAUGGUGCGAGAGGCUCCAUGAAGCUACCACAUAAAGAUUACAAGGAUCCAGGGUUGCUCUGGACCACUGUGUUAACUAUGUCAGAUGUUCGUAUCUUAUGUGUAUCUUUUGAUCUUAAUGCAGCCAGCCUUUGGUUGGGUCCAUCUUAAAUGAUCAUCCAUGAUUUACUAUGAAGGGAGUACAUGUGACACAUGUAGCCAUCUCAUUCCUUCGAGAUAAUUAAUCAUAAGCAUUCAUGUGUCUGCACACAGCUAUCAACUGUACCAACAACUACUCUCUCUCUCUCUCUCAUCACGAAAUUACUGCAAGAAACUAUUCUUUUCACCUCUCAUAUCAAUUCAAACACAACACGGUGAUAUAUCAGAUCUCCAUUGUACACUGAAGCUUGAACUAUCCAACCUAAACCAACCAAACCCACCUAAACCAAGAUCAUGGAGAUCUUAAUUAGCUUUAUUGAAUUUAGUGUCCAGGUUUCAAGUUAAUAACCCUUCCUCUUCGCACAACCUGUUCAGAUACAGUGACUGCAAGCAUCAGCUGAUCCGCUGACUGCAACUAUCUACUGCUUCGAAUUCUUCCCUCUCUUUCAGCUUCAAACCAACCGACACCAACUCUCUCUCUCUCUUUCUCUUUCUAUAUAUGUAUAUAUAUAUGUAUUUAUUGACACAGUGCAUAUUCAAAAACAAAUCUGGUGUCUAUCCAUUUGAACAGGACGCACCAAUGUGAGAAUCUCUCCUAUUCUAUUUGCUGCUUUUAAUGGCUGCAGGCGAAUGGCUGAGGAACCGAUGGUUAGCUUUCGGCGUGGGUAGUCCAGUCCGCAUUUGUUGGCUCCAAGAAGGUUAGUGUCGUCGGUUCAUCUUCUUCUUCCUUCGACCACAUGGACGCCAGCUGCGUGCUGACACGCGCGUGCAUGGCGAGUACGAGAGGUGGUACGGCCUCGUUUUAACUCAGGACCUGCGUACUUUCUUCGGACAUGGGUGCAAGGAGUUCCAACGCGACAGUUGGACGUGACGGUGUGCUCGGCCCCUCCACUCCGGCAGCUGCAGUAUAAAACUCCUCUUCCUGCUUGUCUUGUGAUCACCUAAUUAAAGUGCAUGCCUUUUUCUACUCCGAGCUCAAAGCUGGCUGUUCAUGAACUGGUGGCGAGUGGGUUGACCGCCGAAUGCUAAUCUGAAUCCAUGCACAGUUUUCUCAGGGUGGUUGAACUUGGGAGAAUUGGGAAUGGUGAGUGCCUUCUCUGAGUAUUGUUGUUGUUAUUAUUAGAUUUAAGAUGAGUUUGUCACGUCUCAUUAAAUAUGCAUUUAAUUAGGCACUGCAUGUUUUCUUGGCCACCAGCUGGAAAAUGGUUCAGUUCCUGUCCACUUUUAAGGUCAUUCUGGGAUCGCUAUCCAAUGGUUGGCAGGGAAGCAGACUAAUAAAAGAACAGCAUGCCUGCAUGCAUGCUGCUGCGCUUUAAUUAAGCUAAGCAGCAGAUUCGUGCACAUAGUUUAGCAAUGUUGUGGUAGGAUCCAUGGCCACAUACUCACAUUUCAUGCCACUCCUGAAUACAUGACAUGAUCAACAACUCACAAUGUUUGGUGCUAUGAGUUUUGACUCUGAAUUCAAGAGUAUUCUUUGAGUUUUACUGCUGCAUCAAGCAGAUGUGGAAGAGAUUGCAUUGACCUUGUCAAAACUCGCUUUUGACAUGACCCAACUCUAGCUCGGGAUUGAAGAUUUUUCAGCCAAUGGAAGGAUUCAAUGUUUGGGUAGAGGUAGCAGGGUUGAGAUGUUGAAUAGUAUUAAGGUUGGUCUUCAGUUCAACCCAGUCUGCAAUCCUGCUACAAUCUUCUCUCUCUCUCUCUCUGUGUCACAUCCAAUCUUCAACGUGAGUUUGGAUAGACAUGCAGAAGUAUUGUGGAAUUUUAGGUUCGACUUCGAAUAAAUAUCAAAUUGACUGACGACCGCAUUGUAAGAGUGAUGAAGUCGCUACGAAUUGCAGGAAAUCAAAACCACUAGUUUCUCCUCCUUUAUCCUCUUCAGUAAACGAGGCCACCUCGAAAAGAUUAGACGACGUCCAAAUGCUUCAUCUCUCCACGCGUUUACUCACCCCACAAGCAAAUCAAUGUCAACCCACAUGUCACCUGAGCCUUGACGUCACGGUGGAGGCAGUGUAUGCCAAACCUAGUGGUGGUGGGUGAACCGAGGGUGUGUUUCCCAGUGGACAAGGUCAGAAGGUGAGAAUGAAGAACUGCGUCGCUGUGAGGAAUCCUUCAACCCUGAGUGUGUGACUUCUGUCCGAGACGAAGACCUCCACUCAUUCACAAAGCGACUGCAGGUUUACAUCUGAGCCAGUGGUGAGGCCGAUCGAUCGGAUGCGUGCAUUCAAACAUGAUGCAGAUCCUGCAAGCCAUGUCAAGUCCCAUGAAGAGGUCUAAAAGACGAUCACCAAGCAAUCCUACCCGAUUGGAAUCAGUCUUUAGAGGCUGAGGACUACCUGCUACCUGCUUACUAGUUUAGUUCUUUGAUGUGCGUGUCCUAACCACACAGAAUAAAGAGUCGAGAGGCUCAUCGAGCUGCUUUUGCUGCAGCAGUUCCUUACAGAGCUGCAGAGCUGUCUGUCCCACAAGCCACAUAAGCUAUUGAGCUUUCUUUGGGUUGGA
rnacentral:lncRNA from 1 species